UUGCUGGUUGGCAGCAUAUGUACUAAAAUUUUAUUGUUAUAAAGAAGAUUAGCAUGGCACCGUAUGCAAAGAUGAAACAAAUUCAUGAAGUGUUUCACAUUUUU